GUGUCGUCACGAGCGGCAGGGUUUAAUUUGGAUUUGUCUGUGCAUGUUUUUACUGUCUGAGAUUUUGUUACUAUUCACAUGCAUACAGACUGAAACGGUUGGAGUUUCUACAUUUGUGUUGUACUGAAGAAACAAAAUCACAUACAUCUUGGAUGGCCUCGGGGUAAGCUGAUAAAUACAAAAAAUUCAUUUUAAGAUGAAUCCCGUACGUUGGCGGUUGUUUUAAACUGGGUGCUCGGCUCAGACCCUUUUGCCAGUAUGAAGCCGAUUUCAACGGUAACUGCAGAAAGCGUCAGCACGCUCAGCUCAUCACUGGAGUAACGUCUGUACAACGGGUGAGAUAAAACUCAACGUCUGACUGAAUCAUCCAUUCCCUUUUCGAUCCUACGCCAUACGUUAAACUUGAGCACACCCCACCCUUACAUGGCACACAAGUAUAUGACACACAACACAGGUCUUCUCAGGAGGCUGUGCCUACAGCAAUAGGCUUUACGCCCAGCUGCACUACUUCC